ACAAAGGCGCUUUUCAGCCGCCCCGGCUCAGGGAGAGGAAAGGGCAGAAAGCCGCGCCCCCAAUCCCUGCUCCGUCCGGGUAGGUCCCCUCCCCCCGCGCGUCCAGUCUUCCCAGUUCCAGCUAAGGCUCUGCCAGUCCGGAGAGCCCCUAUCUCUCCCAUCUCUGCUCUAGAUGCAGCCCAGAAGGGCGUGGGAGUAGCACCUGAGAAUAACGGUCUCCUUGUGCGGAUCUGGGGAGCCCCCUGCAGGGUGGCAACCAGAGGAAAGGGCCACAAUGUUCCACGGCCAAGGAGGAAAGAAGGAAUGCCCCUUUUCCCAUCUCUAGGUGAAGCUGGACUCACCCACCUGGGCUGCCAUAGGAAAACGGAGGAGCUGGCAGUGCCCCGGCGCAGGCAUCUAAUAGCUGCUGUUUUUCAAAUGAAUGACUUCUCAGUUGGAAGCUGCUGAAGGGCAGUGGACACUCAAAAGUCUUUGUAAGAGGUGAGGAUCACUUCCCUUAACCGUCCAUCUAGGCACCUCUCCAGCUUUCUCCCUCUCUGGACUCCCGGGGCUCCAUUUUCAGCCACUCAGAUCUCAUCUCAGAGGCACCACGUCCAAUUUCUUUUGUUUAGAAGUCAUUUCUUCUAAGAAGCCUUCCUUGAUGUCCCAACACUGCCCACCUGUGUUCCCUCGAGAACCAUUACUUAACUGCAGUGUUAGAACAGUAUUAGAAUUAUCUGGCACCUUACUAGACAAA